GGUCCGGCGAGAGGCCGGGCGCGGCGGCGCUCCGGUCGCUGCGAGGGAAGCGGGGCCGGUGCCGUACGACGGUCCCGGCCCCGCCCCGGCUCACC
rnacentral:tRNA from 2 species